UCUAAACAAUUGUUUUUUAGAAAGUUGAAUUUUAUUCAAGCAAAAUGACAAGAUACAGCAACCGGUGGCACUGGGCACACCCAGAGAUUAGGAAAAGAAAAGUACAAAGCAAAAAUGAAGAAAAAUAACAUAGCAACAGAAAUUGACAGCAGGUAAACAACAUCUUUAGAAGGUUAAGCAUUGAGAGCCAGUAUUCCCUGGAGCCAAAUAGACAGAAAAAAAAACCUUGCAGCAGAGGACACAACUCGAAGCUAUUGGUCUGAAGAUUAAUUUUUCCAAAAAAAAAAAGCAUUUUUAACAAAUUCAAACCCAUCCUCACCUCCAAUUUCAAAAUUACAACGAAACAAACAGAACCCUAAACACAUUUUUCAAUUCGCGUUCUUACCUCCUCUUCUGUCUCUCUGCAAUUGCCUUCUUCAACCUUCUCCAGCUUCAAUUUCAGAGCUUCAAUCCAACCCAAUUAACCUUUUCCUCGCAGAUGCAUAUCUAGAGUUGCAGAGGGCUCUGGUGUUGGCUGGUGACGAACGAAUCGAUAAGAAGCAUGCCUUACCUCCACGAAGGGAUGAUGACCGCGACGACCAUUAUGUGUAUCAUCUCGGCGAAAAUCUCACUCCUAGAUCCAAGCACCCUGCGUGCAAAACCCUCACUCUCUCCCUCUUAUUCUCUAUCACAACUUCCCCCUUUCUUCCCUAAACAAAACCCUAAUUCCUCUCCCCCCUCUCUCCUCCAAUGGCGAAAUUCAUCAGCCCAAACGCCAUCCCCUGACUCUUCCUCAGAUCUCCCCGAAAUCAUCGUCCAAGUCGUCGAUCUCAAGCAAAGUGUUGCUGGCAUUGUUUUGAAGCCCAGGGAGGAUUAUGGAGUCAAGAGCGAAGCUGCUGUUGCUGCUACUGGGUUCUUAGUUCUCUCUUUGAGAUUUGGAUACAAUUUUUUUGUUUUUUUAGCUUUUAAUUUUGCUGAUCUCGUUAGUUUAUUUUCAUGGAGGAUGAGGGGAUUUUGUGUUCUAUGAAAGAAGAAGGUGAGAUUGAGGAUGAAGAUAAAGAUGAAGAUGAGGUUGAAGAUAAUUAGGUGAUUUUUUGUAAUUUGAAUUAAUAAAUUCAAAGUAUUUUUAUUUUAUUUU